rnacentral:rRNA from 1 species
AACGAACGCUGGCGGCAUGCCUAACACAUGCAGGUCGAACGAGACCUUCGGGCCUAGUGGCGCACGGGUGCGUAACGCGUGGGAACCUGCCCUUAGGUUUGGAAUAACUCCCCGAAAGGGGUGCUAAUACCGGCUAAUGUCUUCGGACCAAAGAUUUAUCGCCUUUGGAUGGGCCUGCGUUGGAUUACCUAGUUGGUAGGGUAAAAGCCUACCAAGGCGACGAUCCAUAGCUGGUCUGAGAGGAUGAUCAGCCACACUGGGACUGGGACACGGCCCAGACUCCUGCGGGAGGCAGCAGUGGGGAAUAUUGGACGAUGGGCGAAAGCCUGAUCCAGCAAUGCCGCGUGAGUGAUGAAGGCCUUAGGGUUGUAAAGCUCUUUUACCCGGGAUGAUAAUGACAGUACCGGGAGAAUAAGCUCCGGCUAACUCCGU